rnacentral:rRNA from 1 species
AUUGAACGCUAGCGGGAUGCUUUACACAUGCAAGUCGAACGAGUGGCGGACGGGUGAGUAAUAUAUCUGCCCGUUCCCAGUAGCUGGGGAUAACUACUCGACAGAGUUGCUACUACCGCCUUCUUUUGGAGCGGCCGCUGUCGGAUUAGCUAGUUGGUGGGGGAAAGGCUAACCACGGCAACGAUCCGUAGCUGGUUUGAGAGGACGACCAGCCACACUGGUACUGAGACACGGCCCAGACUCCUACGGGAGGCAGCAGUGGGGAAUGUUGGACAAUGGGGGAAACCCUGAUCCAGCCAUCCCGCGUGUAUGAGAAGGCCUUCGGGUUGUAAAGUACUUUUGGCAGAGAAGCGGUAUCUGCAGAAUAAGCACCGGCUAACUACGUGCCAGCAGCCGCGGUAAUUC